UCAAUAAUUUGAUUAUUAAUUGUUGAGGUUUAAAAUUUUUUUAGAAAUUAUUAAGAGUUUGAUUGAGAUUUAAGAUUUGAUUAGGGUUUGGUUUAGGAUUUAGGAUUUAAGAUUUGAUUAAGUUUGAUCAAAGAUUUAGGAUUACUUAGGAUUUGAUUAGAAUUUAUUUAAGAUUUGAUUAAGAUUGGUUUAGAAUUUCAUUAAGAUUUGGUCUAAGAUUAGAAUUUGGUUUAGAAUUUUAUUAAAAUUUUAUUAAAAUUUCAUUAGGAUUUUAUUAAGAUUCAAUUAGGAUUUGAUCUAAGAUUUGAUUGAGAUGUGAGAUUUAUUUAAGAUUUGAUUAGGAUUCGCUUAGGAUUUUAUUAGGAUUUAUUGAAGAUUAUACUAAGAUUUUAUUAAGGUUCAAUUAGGAUUUCUAUU
rnacentral:lncRNA from 1 species